rnacentral:lncRNA from 1 species
GUUUUCUUCUAGGAUUUUUAUGGUUUUAGGUCUAACAUUGAAGUCUUCAAUCCAUCUUGAAUUAAUUUUUGUAUAAGUGUAAGGAAGUGAUCCAGUUUCAGCUUUCUACAUAUGGCUAGCCAGUUUUCCCAGCACCAUUUAUUAAACAGGGAAUCCUUUCCCCAUUGCUUGUUUUUGUCAGGUUUGUCAAAAAUCAGAUGGUUGUAGAUAAGCGGCAUUAUUUCUGAGGGCUCUGUUCUGUUCCAUUGAUCUGUAUCUCUGUUUUGGUACCGGUAACAUGCUGUUUUGGUUAGGCCCUGAGAAUGAUGCAGCCAGUCCUACACAUAUGUGCACACAUGCACGUGCACGCACACACACAAACACACAGAGACACUGAACACAGGUGUGUUCGGAGUAGGAGGAGUCCCUAUACUAUUUACUACUUGAAGGCAAAACUGUACCUGUUUACUGGUGUAUCCCGGAUAAUUCACCAGAUAGUUAGAGUGAAUGAAUGGAGAGAUGGUACUGAAUCUAUGUAUGAGGAACAAUGUAACAAAUCUGUCAGUGAGUUACCAGUACCUACACUGGGGGCAAAUCUGCUUAUUUGAUACCUUCACGGCAUCAGCAGCAUACCUUGCAAAAUACGUUUAUUUCGAGAGGCUGACAGCAGAAAUACUCUGUGGUAAGGUCACAAAAUUUAAUGAACACCACUGCUGAAAAUAGCUAGUUCUUUUAAUUUGCCUAUACUUAUGUAGUUACAGUUCACACUUUUCCUGAAGAUCAUUAUAAAUUUGCUGGUUAGUAGGAAGAUAAAUUAACCAAAUAAUUUGAUCUAGAUUAAAUUUAGUUCAACCCCAAAAUUUAAAUUGUCCCUUGAGGCAAAGCUUAGUUUCUGCAGGGGAAAAACGUUUAUGCCCUUAAUAAUCUAUUGUUUCUCCUGCUCCUUUCUUUAAAAUGUCAUGUGGGCCGGGCGCAGUGGCUCACUUUCUCUAGCUGGGCCAUCUGUCUAGUCCUUUUAUGUGGCAGUUCACCCCCAGCAUCUCCCCUAGCAGACCCAUUGGCUUCAAUUCAAAAUCUGCACCACCUAAGAAGGAAGAAUAGCAUGGGCAUACCAAACUGCAGGAGCUCCUCUCUCUAAGCCUGUUUGUUUCUGUGACUAUGCCCCAGGGUAGUGGGAACAAUGCCUCUUCUUUACCUUGAGGAGUAUCAUCACUGAUGUAAUAACACAUCUCCCUCUGUCUUGUAGUCUAAACCCAGAAAGGGCAAAGCCAAGACAUUUAUGUCUGGUUGCAACACUUCCUUUCGCUGUCUCCUUUCCUUCUCUCUCAUC